rnacentral:rRNA from 1 species
CGGGUGAGUAACGCGUAUCCAACCUUCCGUACACUCAGGGAUAGCCUUUCGAAAGAAAGAUUAAUACCUGAUGGUAUCUUAAGCACACAUGUAAUUAAGAUUAAAGAUUCAUCGGUGUACGAUGGGGAUGCGUUCCAUUAGGUAGUAGGCGGGGUAACGGCCCACCUAGCCGACGAUGGAUAGGGGUUCUGAGAGGAAGGUCCCCCACAUUGGAACUGA